GACUGGAGGAAUUGAGUGGCUUCCAUUUGGGGCUUUUGCAGUAUUUCCUACUGAAAGGAUGGAAACGAGUACAAAAUGGAAGUAUAUUUCCUCCAAAAAUGCAUCGAAAACAGAGGUGAAUCAAAAUGCAGAAGUGAAAAUGAUCACAGUGGCAUCACGUCGCCCCAACCCUUCGAGCAUCAGCGAUAGUAAGGGAGGGCUUUACACAAUCCCGACCUAUUCCAAGCGCUCGCAUCUAGACGCACAGAGAUGCUGUGUUUCACGUCAGCUGUGUGUGAUCGUGCCCGUGAUUUCAGCAGAGUAAUCUUGUUCUCUUCAGGUCUUUUUGCGGUCUGGGCUUGCUGUCAAAUGACUAUCCAGGAAGCCCUUACCCCAAAAAGCAUCUGCAGGGGACCCGUACAUCAAGGAAGAUUUGCAUAAAGUUCCCUCCUGAGGCUUGACGUUAGUGUAUAUAUUGUGAAGUCAUGUUUUCUCACCAUGUCUGUCAGUUAAUUCAUGAGUGUAUAUGACUGUGAAAUUGUGUAUUUGACCUUGACCCAUCCAACACAAAAGGUGUGUGUGGUUUAAGUAGGUCAUUUUGGCAGUAGAUAUGCUGUAUUAUGGUGCAAUACAUAAUAGAGACCAUGUCAGUUAAGAAAAAAAUAUCACAGCUGUCAUUAAUCCAGUGGUUCCCACACUGGUUGUCAUUACCCAGAGUAUUACUGCUUCUCCUCUGGACACAGUAACUAGUUUAAACUUUGAUCCAAGAUGUCAAUCAUUCCCUGACUUAGUUGGUUAGACUGAAAACCAGCAGGUUUCCCUUUUCUGAGGAGCAGCAUUGAGACCCAUUUCUCAUUUUCUGAAUGCAUGUGAAACAUGACAACAUUUUUCCAGAAGGUGGCGGCAUUGCUCAAGCAACAUUUUGAGUGUGACUACUUAAAUCCCCCCCCCCCCACACACACACACGACAAAUCUAUGGACACAAUUAUGAUGGUGACAGUGAGUUUGAUAAUGGCACCUGUACCUAUUCAUGGUUGUAAUGUAACACACUUGGAACACUUAUUUACUUUUGGCUUCAGAAAUCUGGAGUUUGUCCAUUGAAGUAGUCCAGUCCAGUGAAUGAGAAGCUGUUGUCUCAGCUUAAGCAGCCAACACAGCAGUGAAAGUAAUGACUUUUGUGCUUCCAACUCAAUAAACAGCUUCUGCAGAAAUUUGUCAUUUCCUAUGUAUUACUCAUUUGUUUCCUAUGCCAAGAACUUCUUUGGUAUCGUGCAAAGCAGGGCAAACUCACAACGAAAAAACAGGUGCAAACCAAUUGUGUUACCACUUCUACGCAGCAGUGAUGCAAUUUUGCUUCCAGUAAAACAUACAAAAACACAUUAUUAAAUGAUUCUUCAUCUACUGACUCCAGACAUAUCAUCCCACAUCGAGCUUGUUGAAAGAAAUCCAGCAUUUUGUUUUCUGGGGUGGAAUAACUUUUUUUAACCUUUAGACUCUUGUUGUGGUGUUGUUUGGCCCGCUCACUGCAUUUCUCAAACAACAGAAGCCGAACAAAUCACUUUCCGAUAUCCUGAGAUGUCAGAGGAAACAUUGGGUCUCAUUAUCCUAAUGCCUUUGGUGGGGCUUUGUUUUUACAGCCUGUUUCUGCCCCUCUUUUGCUUAUUGUUACUUUUGCUUACUGGAUGUUUGACUUCCAGUUAGCAGACUCAUGUACAGUAUAUGCAGAGUGCAAUGCCAGACAAAUGUUUUCACAUUCUUCUGGAGGAAUGUUUCUGUGGUCACCUUAAACGUGACAUAAAGGGCACGUACGUGUGUUGGGAUGUCAGAUACUUCUGGAAGUUAGUCAUGGUCCGAAACGUGUGAUGUUGAAACUUGAGGCCUGCAUUGCACACACAGUACACUGAGAAUGGACUUUUCCAUGAAGUAAGAGGCAUCAUGUUCAUAGAUUCAGAUUUUUUAAAAUGAAGAUAAAGAAUUAGAUGUAAUUUUAAAUUUUUUUAAUAUAUAUAUAUUUUUCACGUAGUAGUAGUAACUUUUGUGUUUGUAUAUCAGACAGACUUUGCCAUUUCAGUGUUUUUAUAUGUCCUAAAACAUGCUGGGAAAAGAUAAAGGAAGAUAAAACCUAAGAUACCUUGAAAUGACCAUCAGCAAAAUUAUACCCAGACAACAGUGCUAUCAUUAACAGUGAGAGGAAUCUUAAAAAAAAAAAAAAUGCAUUGACUUUCUCAACAUCUGAGGUUAGCGAGAAUGUGUUUUCUGGUUGCUCUUAUUGUGAAUUACGGUUUAUUAUUCACACAAAGUGUUCUCACUAUUCCAGAUGAACAGCUGCCUCUUCAAAACUGUCUCUUUGAGGUAUUAACUUAAAAGGGACCUAUUUUCCCUCAUGCCAGUUGACCUCCUGCUCUGCCCUGACUCAUCUUAUUCAAAGAGUUCAAAUGAGGGAACCUGCUGUGGGGUGACUGUCUCACUGGCAGUCACCUGUAGCUCACACAACACUCUUUUGGGAGAAGAGUAUUAAAUCCUUGGGCACUUUUUACUGUUCCUCUACCACACGAGGUUGCACCCACAUCUUGAUACACUGGCACUGGAUCUAGAACAAUAAAUUAGCCUGUUUCUUUUCAUCACCGGCCACUGAAAGAUAAUGUGAUCUGUAAUUUCAGGUGUAGAUUCAAAUAACUGGUCAAAACCUGGAUUCACCUACCAACAGACAGUAUUUCCAAUAUAGUUUGUUCAAUGUGUUAAAGAAAAAGAAUAAAAAUGUGAUUAUUUGCUUUGUAACAGCUUAUUUUUUGAUAUAUGAACGAGAAUAGAUAGGACCAGUAGGACCAACUAGACAAUGGAAUGAGGCCUGUCGGGAACAGUUUGCCAGAACAUGAGGCUUUGAUGCCUGAUUAUCUUCCCAUAAAAAUUAAUGGAUAUGUUCCCACUUGUUGCCUGUCAUCCCAGUCAUGGUACUUCUACGUGCCACACAAAGGCAACUGAACUCACUUGAAGAUGUCGCACCUCUCAUCUGAAAGGCUUAUUUAGCUCUAACUGACUGCUGGGGAAUCCCAGGCAUUUAACCCUUUGUAGGGUCAUGAACAACUUGAGGGUCGUUGAGAUCACAUGGAAGUCACUGACCCACCCAGCCAUCAUGUGUGUUAUUAGGGUCAUAUUAGUAAGGGUAUGAAUGGAUGUUAAGCUGCCAAGGGAGGGAUCUCAAGGUUGCAUCACAAGUGGCUGAUAAGUUUUGUCAGGUCUAUCUUAAGACGUGCACAUAAGCACACCACUGACCUCAGUGUGACCAAUUACACUUUUAGUGUGUUUCAUGUUGUUGUUUCAUGUGAAUAUCGUUUUAAGAUGGUCUUGAAAUAUGUGAAUUUAUUCCUUAAUACUCCCUUGUUGCAUGUUUAGGUUCUCAAGACUUCCUUAAACACGCAUGCACUUUAUUUGCACAAUACAAGACCGUUUAUUCCUAUUACUUCGAAUUUAAAUACAAAUGUAAUAUGUAUGUAAUAAGGUCUGGUGAUUUGAGUUCAUUAUUUUCACAUGAACUACUUCAUUUACUAAUCAUCUCCUCUGAAAUUAACAUCUGUCUCAUUAAAAUCACAACAUGCUUCUUCCCUGAUUAAUUUUUUUUACGACACACUAUGAAACCGGCAGUGUUAUGUAAAAAGAAUCUUAUGAUAUGGUGUGCUCUGACUACAUAUGGAAGAGUCAGUAUCUAUUACAUAUUGUAAGAUGCAGUCAUCUGCCCUCUACACAGAUCAGAUCAUAAACAAAUCCCAAAAUAUCUAGCAAGUUACACAGCUACGUAAUUCCUGCCAUGCCACUUGAGAUACACAUUCACAGAGACAGAGAGAAAGGCUGACUACCACAAGUACUGUGAUGGUUUUGAUUUCAGGUCUUUACUUUUAUCAUCAAAACAUGUUGUCUUUAUACAGUGGAAAUUAGUGGAAUGAAUUUAUAGGUUUUAUAUUGUAUUAAGUGCACAUCUCCCUGCACAAAAAGAGUCUAUAAAAUAAUACAAAAUGUACAGUGUGUCUUAAAAAAAAAAAGAUUCAUAUGAACUAUCAUAUGGUGUAGAGAGUUUUCUAUAUUGGCCGUGUAAAGAUAAACCAGAUCCUUAUCAUAAACUCACUUAUUAUAAGUGAAAUUCAGUAAAACUUCUUUUUACACUGCAGACAUCUGACUGGCUGGAACAGGGCUUAGAGUAAGCAUGUUUCAGAUGUAUUAUUCAGCAUUCACAGUAAUAAACAGCCUCUUGAUAAUAUGCUGGUGGGAAAGAGCAUCAGCAGCCAGUUUUUCUGGAACUUACAUAACGUGUCACAAGUUACACUCCUCACGAAUGCACUCAGGUAAAUCCUUCAAAUCCUGCGUAAUAGGCCACUUUUGUUUUACGUAAAAACACCUGUGCUUGCUUCACAUGAUAAAAACAUGUUUUUUGCUUGCUCUGACUGGACUUCUGCAGAGCUCCAACUCAUUCUGAGCCCCCCCC